CACGUAGUUAGCCGGAGCUUAUUCCUCGGGUACCGUCAUGUUUCGUCCCCGAUUAAAGAUCUUUACAACCCGAAGGCCUUCUUCAAUCACGCGGCGUUGCUGCGUCAGGGUUCCCCCAUUGCGCAAUAUUCCCCACUGCUGCCUCCCGUAGGAGUCUGGGCCGUGUCUCAGUCCCAAUGUGGCCGUUCAACCUCUCAGUCCGGCUACUGAUCGUCGCUUUGGUGGGCCGUUACCCGCCAACUGGCUAAUCAGACGCGAGCUCAUCUUUGGACAAUAAAUCUUUGGCAGCAGGACCAUGCGAUCCCGUUGCAUUAUGCGGUAUUAGCAGCCGUUUCCGGCUGUUAUCCCCCAUCCCAAAGGCAGAUUGCUCACGCGUUACUCACCCGUCCGCCACUAAGCUAAAGAUUCCGCUCCCCGAAGGAAGUUCCUAAAUAGCUCCGUUCGACUUGCAUGUGUUAGGCACGCCGCAGCGUUCAUCCUGAGCCAGGAUCGAAACUCUCUGAGUACCG
rnacentral:rRNA from 1 species